CCAACCCAACAAACAACCCAACUUUUUACAAAAUUUAUUAACAAAAAAUCUUUUAAUAUCAGUCAAUAGUUAUUAGUUAUUGAUUAUUUGGUAAUAUAUCGAUAUCUCUGUGUUCUCUUAUGUCUGUGUUGUCAACAUUUGAACAUUUUUGAGCGGUCCGCUCUUUCUGACUGUAAACAAAGCCGUUCUCCACCUCCUCUAACCUGAUUGGUUGUGAGGCAGACGCUGCUCCCCCGUGUCGUUCAGGAGCCCAAACAAAGUUAGCGUGCUACAAUAUCGGACAGUAGAAACCAACCAGAAAGUUCGGAAAAUUGUCUGAAUCCUCCUUUGGCCACGACUGCCGACACAAGCAAGAAAACAAAGUAAAUACCGGAGACUCUGGAGGAAUAACGGGCGCUUAAAACGGAGGUAGACCGGACAAGAGCUAAAAAGCCGGGUCAACAUAAACGAUGGGGGACGCUUGGGGAUCUUGGUGACCCUGUAACCUUUCUGCUGGACAGGUAAACCGCUUUAACAAAGUAAGACAAGUGUCUGUAACAGAAGUGUUUCUUGUCAAACGGACCUGCUGUAGCGUGUUGUAGCGCCAUCGCUAAACUGUCCUCCCUCGGGUCCUGGACUAUGUCACUUUAUCCUCGUUGUAGAAGUCCUGCAAACAUUGUGUUUGCUGGUAGUCUGUUGGCAUCUACAGUAGCACCAAUGCUUUUGACUUUCACCUUGACUGGGCCCCAUUUGUAAUGAUCUGAAGUAUUGAUCUGCAUUAUAUCUGAAUUUAAUUGGAACGAUACAAGCGAGCAGCGAUCUUCAGGACGGCUGCAGCUUUAAGAACUUCUGCUUGUUGGAGUUUGAGAGUCUAAAGUUCACAGAGACGCUCCUCUUCCUGGAUUGUAGAUAAACUGGUCCCCCCCCCCCCCGUCUCUCACAGCUCACUCCACUCUGCACUCACUGUCUCUCACAGCUCACUCCACUCUGCACUCUCACUUCCUUGUUUCCUCCCCUUCCUUCCUCCCUCCCCCUCAGUUCUACAGUCUUGGUUGGGUGUAACCGUCGUGUGCUGAGGUCAUAUCCUGCUGACGCACAUGUUGUUGAGAUCAGAGCUCAGACUAGUUUCACUUCUCAGGAAAUGAAACUCAGUCAGUCGUCGUCGUCGACAGCGAGUGUUGAAAUGGCGCAGAAAGGAGUUCAUCUGGACCGUGAGUCUUUCUCUUGUUCCAUCUGUUUGGAUCUUCUGAAGGAUCCGGUGACUGUCACCUGUGGACACAGCUUCUGCAUGAGCUGUAUUCAAUCCUACUGGGAUACUGAGGAUGAGAGGAGGAUCUACAGCUGUCCUCAGUGCAGAGAGACCUUCAGACCGAGGCCUGUCCUGAAGAAAAACACCAUGUUAGCAGGUUUAGUGGAGGAAGUGAAGAAGAGCGGACUCCAAGCUGCUCCUGAUGGUUCCUCUGAGGCUGGACCUGAAGAUGUGGCCUGUGAUUUCUGCAGUGGGAGAAAACUGAAAGCUGUCAAGUCCUGUCUUCAAUGUUUGGCUUCUUACUGUCAGAUUCACCUCCAGCCUCAUUUUGAAGUUACUCCAUUUAAGAAACACAAGCUGGUGGAGCCCUCCAAGAAGCUCCAGGAGAAAAUCUGCUCUCGUCAUGAUGAGGUGAUGAAGAUGUUCUGCCGCACUGAUCAGAAGUCCAUCUGUUAUCUCUGCUGUUUGGACCAACACAAAGGUCACGACACAGUCUCAGCUGCAGCAGAAAGGACUGAGAGGCAGAAAGAUCUGGAGGAGGGUCGAGAAAACAUCCAGCAGAGAAUCCAGGACAGAGAAGAAGAUGUGAAGCUGCUCCAACAGGAGGUGGAGGCUAUCAACGGCUCUGCUGAUAAAGCUGUGGAGCACAGCCAGGAGAUCUUCAGCCAGCUGAUCCGUCUGAUGGAGAAACGCCGCUCUGAGGUGGAGCAGCAGGUCAGAUCCCAGCAGGAACGUGAAGUGAGUCGAGUCAAAGACCUUCAGGAGAAACUGGAGCAGGAGAUCACUGAGCUGAAGAGGAAAGACGCUGAUCUGCAGAAGCUCUCACUCACAGAGGACCACAACCAGUUUCUGCACAGCUACCCCUCACUGUCAGAACCGGGUCAACCUGCAGACUCAUCCAGGAUCAACAUCCGUCCUCUGAGAUACUUUGAGGAGGUGACAGCAGCUGUGUCAGAGCUCAGAGAUAAACUCCAGGAUCUUCUGACAGAGACGUGGACAAACGUCUCACAGGCAGUGACUGAAGUGGAUGUUUUACUGUCAGAACGACCAGAACCAGAACCAGCAGAACCCAAGACCAGAGCUGGUUUCUUAAGAUAUUCACGAAGAAUCACACUGGAUCCAAACACAGUAAACAGAGAGCUGUUAUUAUCUGAUGGAAACAGAAGAGCAACAGUGACAGCAGAAGAACAGUCUUAUCCUGAUCAUCCAGACAGAUUCACUGAUUAUCUUCAGGUCCUGAGUAGAGAGAGUCUGACUGGACGUUGUUACUGGGAGGUGGACUGGAGAGGGGGCGGGGUUAUUGUAGCAGUCGCAUACAAGACUAUCAGGAGAGACGGAGACUCAGAGGAUUGUGUAUUUGGAGAAAAUGACAAAUCUUGGAGGUUAGACUGUGAUAAACACAGUUAUCAAUUUGGUCACAACAAAGUCCUCACUGAUGUCUCAGGUCCUCCGUCCUCCAGAGUAGGAGUGUACCUGGAUCACAGAGCAGGUAUUCUGUCCUUCUACAGCGUCUCUGAAACCAUGACUCUCCUCCACAGAGUCCAGACCACAUUCACUGAACCUCUACAUGCUGGACUGGGGUUAGGCUGGUCUGUUGGAGACUCUGCUGAGUUUAUAGAAGUGAACUAAAGAGAAUUUUGAGUCCAUCAGACCAAAAUCAUGGACUGAGAUCCUUGAACUCUUGAAAUGUUCUGGUUUGUAAAUGUUUGUGGAUCAGUCUCACCAAAAACUCUGGGUUUAGUUCUUCAUUUCAGCUUUUUGAUUCUUUUCUAAAGAUGCUGAUUUGGUCGCAGCUUUAAGGACAGUGAUUGUGGAGAACUUUGAUUGUUUGUAUUUCUCAUGUUGAAAAAUCUUCAUACAGUUUGAUAUCAACAACAUCAAGAUGAUGGUUUGUUCAAAUCACCUUCAGUUGGUGCAGAUGUUGAAGGUCUGAGACUUUAGAAAAAAGUGAGGUCAAAAUCACAGAAAAAGGACGACCUUAUUUCCUGUCCCAAAUCCAAGCGUCUAAAGUCUUUCCAGUCGUCCCCAAAAACUCUUCAGAUGAUCUGUUUCUUUCUCUGUUUGCUGAAUAUUUGUGUUCAUGUGAUCGAUGGAUAUUUCUGUCUGCUUCUGUUGGAUCAGUGUGUUUGUAAAGACAUCUAGAAUCAGACUUUGGACAGAUCUACAUGUUGUUAUGAGCUUUUCAAUCACUCUAAUAAUAAUAAUCACAUUUAUUAGUCCCACUGUUUGGAUGUUUCUGACUCAGCUCAGAUUGUGGUCAAGUCUCUGAUUGUGGGUAAAAAAAUCAUAAAAAUCCUCAAACUGAGUCACUGAAAUCACCUCGUCUGUUUGUCUUUAUUGUGUCUGUUUCUGCUGGAUGUCAUGUUACCGCUCCGUCAGUGUCAUGGAUCCAUGUGGUCUUACAUGUCCCAGAUGUGAGUCCUGCAGCUGGAUCAGGUUUUCUGUAGAGGACAAAGACAGGAGGCAGGUUGUGUGUCUUUUUGAUUUGAUGUAACCAGACUAGUCCUGUUGAGAUCAUCAAUCUCUUUUUCAGGGGGGGUCCUGACCAAGAAUGGCAGCAAAACACAAACACACUCAGACUCACACAGAUCCACAUCAGCAACAAGAACUCAGUGUUCAUAUGAGAGAGUCCAGCUGAUCUCUAGUCUAAGGAAAGAAGUCUGGUCCACAAGAAGAAAACCGACUUAAAGGUGGAGUAGACAGGAAUCUGUUAAAGAAGCAUCUUUUUAUUUUGUGGUUUUUAAACAAAAAAUCUUUAAAUAUCAGUCAAUAGUUAUUAGUUAUUGAUGACAUUUGGUAAUAUAUCGAUAUCUCUGUGUUCUCUUAUGUCUGUGUCGUCAACAUUUGAACAUUUUUGAGCGGUCCGCUCUUUCUGACUGUAAAUAAAGCCGUUCUCCACCUCCUCUAACCUGAUUGGUUGUGAGGCAGACGCUGCUCCCCCGUGUCGUUCAGGAGCCCAAACAAAGUUAGCGUGCUACAAUAUCGGACAGUAGAAACCAACCAGAAAGUUCGGAAAAUUGUCUGAAUCCUCUUUUGGCCACGACUGCCGACACAAGCAAGAAAACAAAGUAAAUACCGGAGACUCUGGAGGAAUAACGGGCGCUUAAAACGGAGGUAGAGCGGACAAGAGCUAAAAAGCCGGGUCAACAUAAACCAUGGGGGACGCUUGGGGAUCUUGGUGACCCUGUAACCUUUCUGCUGGACAGGUAAACCGCUUUAACAAAGUAAGACAAGUGUCUGUAACAGAAGUGUUUCUUGUCAAACGGACCUGCUGUAGCGUGUUGUAGCGCCAUCGCUAAACUGUCCUCCCUCGGGUCCUGGACUAUGUCACUUUAUCCUCGUUGUAGAAGUCCUGCAAACAUUGUGUUUGCUGGUAGUCUGUUGGCAUCUACAGUAGCACCAAUGCUUUUUACUUUCACCUUGACUGGGCCCCAUUUGUAAUGAUCUGAAGUAUUGAUCUGCAUUAUAUCUGAAUUUAAUUGGAACGAUACGAGCGAGCAGGAGCGUCUGUUUGUGGGCGGGGCUUGAGGGGAGGGGAGGAGCUGAGGGGAAAACUGGUUGGCAUUCAAGGUUUCUCCUGAAAACUGGAACUACCUCAGAUUCUGACUACACCACCUUUAACAACCAAC